rnacentral:rRNA from 1 species
AUACGGAGGACGCGAGCGUUAUCCGGAUUCAUUGGGUUUAAAGGGUGCGCAGGCGGCCGUGCAAGUCAGCGGUGAAAGCCCGGGGCUCAACCCCGGAAGUGCCGUUGAUACUGCAUGGCUGGAAUGCGGUCGAGGCGGGCGGAACGUGGCGGGGAGCGGGGAAACGCGUAGAUAAGCCACAGAACGCCGAUAGCGGAGGCAGCUCGCCAGGCCUGCAGUGACGCUCGGGCGGGAAAGCGUGGGGAUCGAACAGGAUUAGAUACCCUGGGAGUCCACGCCGUAAACGAUGGGCGCUCGUCGUCGGCGGCAGACAGUCGGCGGCCAAGCGAAAGCGAUAAGCGCCCCACCUGGGGAGUACGGUCGCAAGGCUGAAACUCAAAGGAAUGGACGGGG